rnacentral:rRNA from 1 species
CCUGGCUCAGGAUGAACGCUAGCGAUAGGCUUAACACAUGCAAGUCGAGGGGCAGCACGGUGUAGCAAUACACUGGUGGCGACCGGCGUACGGGUGCGUAACACGUAUGCAACCUACCCGCUAUGGGGGAUAACCCGGCGAAAGUCGGACUAAUAUCCCAUAUUAUUCUUACCGGGCAUCCGGUGAGUCUGAAAGAUUUAUCGAUUGCGGAUGGGCAUGCGGAUGAUUAGCUAGUAGGUGGGGUAACGGCUCACCUAGGCGACGAUCAUUAGGGGUUCUGAGAGGAAGGUCCCCCACACUGGAACUGAGACACGGUCCAGACUCCUACGGGAGGCAGCAGUGAGGAAUAUUGGUCAAUGGGCGCUAGCCUGAACCAGCCAAGUCGCGUGAAGGAUGACAGAUCUAUGGUUUGUAAACUUCUUUUGCAGGGGAGUAGAGUGCGACACGUGUGUUGUAUUGCAAGUACCCUGCGAAUAAGCAUCGGCUAACUCCGUGCCAGCAGCAGC